GCUGGGUGCAGUGGCGCACACCUGUAACCCCAGCCACUCGGGAGGCUGAGGCGGGAGGAUCUCAAGUUCAAGGUCAGUCUCAGAAAUUUAGUGAGGCCCUAAGCACUUUAGCAAGAUCUUGUCUCAA
rnacentral:sRNA from 1 species